rnacentral:pre_miRNA from 1 species
UUUCUACUCCCUCCGUCCGAAAAUACUUGUGAUCAAAAUGGAUAAAAAGAGAUGUAUCUAAAACUAAAAUACGUCUAGAUACAUUUCCUUUUAUCCAUUUUGAUGACAAGUAUUUCCGGAUGGAGGGAGUAUUUG